rnacentral:rRNA from 1 species
GUUUUAGGAAAAAGACCCGAACCUAAGUGAUCUAAGCAUGAGCAGGCUGAAGCUCCACGAAAGUGUAGUGAAGGGCCGAACCCACUACUGUUGCAAUAUUAGGGGAAGACUUGUGCUUAGGGGUGAAAGGCCAAACAAACUUAGAUCUAGCUGGUUCUCCCCGAAAUCUAUUGAGGUAGAGCACUUUUUAUAUUUAUCUUAUGGGGUAGAGCACUUCAUGGGUGUGGGGGGCGUAAAGCUUUACCAUUUCCAAGAAAACUCCGAAUACGUAUAGAUAGAAAAAGCAGACAGGCUCUGGGCGCAAAGGUGCAGAGCCAAGAGGGAAACAGCCCAGACUAUCAGCUAAGGUCUUUAAUCUCUUUCUUAGUGGGAAAGGAAUAAUAUGAGCAAAAUCAAUCUCGAGGUGGUCUUAG